UAGGGAAUAUUGCGCAAUGGAGGAAACUCUGACGCAGCGACGCCGCGUGGGUGACGAAGGCUUUCGGGUCGUAAAGCCCUGUCGGAAGAGAAGAAAAACGAGAUGGCUAAUAUCCAUCUCGCUUGACGGUACCUUCAAAGGAAGCACCGGCUAACUACGUGCCAGCAGCCGCGGUAAUACGUAGGGUGCAAGCGUUGUUCGGAAUCAUUGGGCGUAAAGCGCGUGUAGGCUGUCAAUUAAGUCGAGUGUGAAAUCCCUGGGCUCAACCGAGGAAGUGCAUCCGAAACUGAUUGGCUUGAAGACGGCAGAGGAAGGUGGAAUUCCAAGUGUAGAGGUGAAAUUCGUAGAUAUUUGGAGGAAUACCGGUGGCGAAGGCGGCCUUCUGGACCGAUCUUGACGCUGAGACGCGAAAGCGUGGGGAGCAAACA
rnacentral:rRNA from 1 species